rnacentral:rRNA from 1 species
UAGAGUUGCCAGGGACUCGUAACGACUCAUGAGACGGUGGAGUUCUUUUAGUAACUUGAUUCAACCUUUGGUUUUUUUUGAAAUUAAAACGUACAAGUCUCGUUGGUGAACCAGCGGAGGGGAUAUCA